AUUGAACGCUGGCGGCAGGCCUAACACAUGCAAGUCGAACGGUAACAGAAAGCAGCUUGCUGCUUUGCUGACGAGUGGCGGACGGGUGAGGAAUGUCUGGGAAACUGCCUGAUGGAGGGGGAUAACUACUGGAAACGGUAGCUAAUACCGCAUAACGUCGCAAGACCAAAGAGGGGGACCUUCGGGCCUCUUGCCAUCGGAUGUGCCCAGAUGGGAUUAGCUUGUUGGUGGGGUAACGGCUCACCAAGGCGACGAUCCCUAGCUGGUCUGAGAGGAUGACCAGCCACACUGGAACUGAGACACGGUCCAGACUCCUACGGGAGGCAGCAGUGGGGAUUAUUGCACAAUGGGCGCAAGCCUGAUGCAGCCAUGCCGCGUGUAUGAAGAAGGCCUUCGGGUUGUAAAGUACUUUCAGCGGGGAGGAAGGGAGUAAAGUUAAUACCUUUGCUCAUUGACGUUACCCGCAGAAGAAGCACCGGCUAACUCCGUG
rnacentral:rRNA from 1 species